AGUCGAGCGAGCUUGCCUAGAUGAUUUUAGUGCUUGCACUAAAUGAAACUAUAUACAAGCGAGCGGCGGACGGGUGAGUAACACGUGGGUAACCUGCCCAAGAGACUGGGAUAACACCUGGAAACAGAUGCUAAUACCGGAUAACAACACUAGACGCAUGUCUAGAGUUUGAAAGAUGGUUCUGCUAUCACUCUUGGAUGGACCUGCGGUGCAUUAGCUAGUUGAUAAGGUAACGGCUUACCAAGGCAAUGAUGCAUAGCCGAGUUGAGAGACUGAUCGGCCACAUUGGGACUGAGACACGGCCCAAACUCCUACGGGAGGCAGCAGUAGGGAAUCUUCCACAAUGGACGAAAGUCUGAUGGAGCAACGCCGCGUGAGUGAAGAAGGGUUUCGGCUCGUAAAGCUCUGUUGGUAGUGAAGAAAGAUAGAGGUAGUAACUGGCCUUUAUUUGACGGUAAUUACUUAGAAAGUCACGGCUAACUACGUGCCAGCAGCCGCGGUAAUACGUAGGUGGCAAGCGUUGUCCGGAUUUAUUGGGCGUAAAGCGAGUGCAGGCGGUUCAAUAAGUCUGAUGUGAAAGCCUUCGGCUCAACCGGAGAAUUGCAUCAGAAACUGUUGAACUUGAGUGCAGAAGAGGAGAGUGGAACUCCAUGUGUAGCGGUGGAAUGCGUAGAUAUAUGGAAGAACACCAGUGGCGAAGGCGGCUCUCUGGUCUGCAACUGACGCUGAGGCUCGAAAGCAUGGGUAGCGAACAGGAUUAGAUACCCUGGUAGUCCAUGCCGUAAACGAUGAGUGCUAAGUGUUGGGAGGUUUCCG
rnacentral:rRNA from 1 species